AUGGCGCUCCGUACCCUGGCGGCGAGGGUGCGGACUACAGCCGAUGCGGUCCGCGUCCAGACGACGGCCCCUCGCCUCUCCCCUCCGCCCGGUGGCCGCCCCGACUUCCACUCCGCCGCCGCCGCCCGCCGCCACCCGCCGGCCCCUCGCCUCUCCGCUCCGCCCGCCGGCCGUCCCUGCCUCAUCUCCAACAGGACUUUGCGUACGAAAAUUAACUUGCAAUCAGCUAGUCUAGAAGAAUUAGAGCGAGAGGCGGGGUCCUUAAGGGGACGGAUUGAUGAGGUUGUGGAGUCUAUUAGCAAGGAGAAGGAGAGGUCCGAUCUCAUCAUGAAGGACAUCUGGGGUACCAUUAAGCUGAUGGCAUGUUCAGCUGUUGUGGUGAAAAUCAUUGCAUUUACCAUUUCUCCAGUUGAGGAACCCAAGGAGAUUGCAUGA
rnacentral:rRNA from 1 species